rnacentral:lncRNA from 1 species
AAAUUAUUUCAAGUACUUCAGGGUUUAGUUUUCUUAGUGACACCCUGGACCCUGGAUGCUGCUUUCUAAAGUGCACCUGAUCCAUGCAGUUUUAUGUCUUCAUAUAACUGGUAUCUUGUGAGUUUGCAAGCAAUGGGAUGAGCAAGAAAAAAAGGACGCAUGGAGGAGAAAAAUUUGAACGAGGCUAGUGCAAUGUUUUGCUGAUAGAUUACAUUGUUAGGGAGCUGGUGAUUUUUUGCCAUGGUCGUAUCGUGGACAGCUUUUCCGUGGAAAUUCAAGGCAUCUGUAUUAGGCAAAUGUGAGUGCCCUUGAUCUUGUAUUGAUCAGUGCCAAUGUACUGGGAAAGCAGGUACCCCAGUGAAACUGGUCUGUGCUUGGUUUAACAGCUCCAACAAUUUCAGAUCCAUGGGGCUGCUUGACCAUAGACCCUGUUUACUCCAUGCCUGUUCAAAAGUCAUUUUGACUUCUAGCUUUGUUUCACUUUCUUCUUUCAAUACUUCUGUUUCCUCGUCCUUUUCCUUCAUAUUCCAUGGCUAUUUCUUUCCUACUUUACAGUUUCCCCCAGACCCAGAUUUUUUCACACCUCUGCAUCAUAGACAACUGAGUAGCUCCCUUGGCCCCUCCUCCAUCCUCUCACACCCUGUGCUCCGUUCCUCAGCCGUUUGGACAGGGAGCUCCGCUGUCACCAAGGAGCCCAUGUGAGACACACUGCUGUGACUGCCUCUUGUUAAUGUCAGCAUCACCUCAUCACUUAAGCAAAAAGGAAAAUCCAUAAAAGAGAUGGAAAAUACGUCUCUUUUUAUUUUAUUUUAAGAAGAUUGGGCGGGGUGGGGGGGGGGUUCUUAUUCUAGGCCUUCUCAAUUUCUCAUAGAUUUUACCUUAAACUAAUUAAGGCCAUUCUCUUGAUAAAUUUGUACAUCAGACCGGGUCACCAGCUAUGAUGCAGAACGCCAGAUUUUUGAAUCUCAAGUAACUUUCUGUGGUGCUGGACAAAUUGACUUAAUUCUGUGCAGGCAAACACUUUGAAUCAUAAGGAUUUUUAUUGCCGCUCCAUUCUUACUACUAUUCAUGAUUCAAACAUCUACCCCUGUUCUGAAUCAGGAUGUUGACACUUCUUGGUUAUUUUCAGAUGAACAGUAACUGCUACACUCUUGAAAGCACUUAAAAGUGCAAGCAUGUCCUAAAUAGCCAUUUAACCUGGUAAAACAUAGGCUUUUCUGUUUAAUUAAGUAUUAGACCAGUCUGUAGAUAUAAUCUGAAAAGAUUGUAGGCAGUAAUGAAGACAGUUGGGGAAAGGAGAAGGCCCUUUAAAGACAUGAAACCUUACACGCUCUUGGGAUAUUUUUAAGCAUAAUAAGCUCAUUGGAUUCAGGUAUUUUUCCCUUUGCAUUUUUAAAAAUACGUAUUUCUAAUUUGUUUGCAUAUUUAAUUUUGUCAAAGCUGAGAAAUGCUCAUGAGUUGAAUUUAUAAAUGUCAUUUGCAACCAAAUGAAGUAUUUAUUUUUAAAAAGAGAGUGAAGGAACCAACACUGAUUUGUACAUAAUAAAAAUGUGUGUAUUAUAUAUAUAUAUUUUUUCCUCCUUGACAGUACUUGGUCACAAUAUCAAGUGUAUUUUUGUACAUAAUAUAUAUUGAUUAGAAAAACGUCAAUUGUCUAUUCAAAAAAUUCUAUCUCUGUGAUAGAUUAUAUUUAUCCUAAUCUGUUGAUACCUCUGUUAAUUUGUUUUAAGAGAAUUAUAUUUUUUGGAAUUUACAGAGAAUUGCAUUCAUGGCUUUCAAUUGUAAAUAUGCUAAGGGUAUUUUAAUAAAUCUUGGUUUCAUGUC